UUUGAGUAAGGGUAUGAAUGCCAUCGUGGAGAUCCAGACCCAGAGGCCAGUGUCAUUAGAGCUGUACAAAGACUACAAGGAGCUGGGCCGCUUCAUGCUGCGAUAUGUAGGCUCCACCAUUGCUGCAGGGGUUGUCACCGAGAUCAAAGAAUGAAUGUCACGCAGAGCUGGUCAGACUUUGCACUGGAGACUGCAUGCAGCCAGAGACAAAGUGCAAUUCCUCAAAGAGAUGUCACUCAUGGACUGAGAACAUCGCAUUCAUCCAUCCAUCUUUCCAUCCAGCACAGCUGCCACUACACCUGACUGCUCUGAUCAGUACUAACUAGACAGAUACAGCCAUGAACUGAGCUCACAGUGCAUCCAGCAGCUCUGACACCCUGAUAUGGUGACGUCGAGCACCCAGCUAGCCCCACUUCACAUUUCUCCCUUACUUUCUUUAAAAGUUAAUGUGAGCAUUCAGCUUCCAGUUUACAUAACAACCAUUUUCCAUAAUACGGCGCUCCCAAUCAAAACUGUUGACCUGAAGUGACUAAUUUUGAACUCACAAAUGAAUGUUGUGUUAUGUGGGAUUUGAAGGCAAAUGUUUAUUAUUUUUACCAUAAAUAUGUUUCUAUCUCAAAUUACAUAGCUAAGAGGACAAGGUCUACAAAGACAUUUAAAUGUUUACUCUAACCACGCUAGAGUAGCCUGUGAACAAAUAAGGGAAACUAAAAUUUCCACUUCCAUUUGGAGAGCAAGUUCUUAUUUAUGUUAACAAAAUACACAUUACUUGAAAUGCUUCUAAAAAACUUUUCAGUAAGGCAGCAAAAUGCUUUUUGAAGGGCUGACUUUUCUUCUAACAAAGUAAGACCGGGCUGAAUAGAGCACGGAGUUCACAGGAACUGUAUCUCUGUUUCUCCAUGUGUUGAACCGGGUGUGUUGGUGACGAUGGUGUGAAGAAAGAUGAACAUGAUAUCAGUAA